GUAGUCUCGCACAGAUGCAUAUCAAUAAGCGGAGGAAAAGAAACUAACUAGGAUUCCCUUAGUAACGGCGAGUGAAGCGGGAAGAGCUCAAAUUUGAAAUCUUCAAGGUUUUACCUUGACGAAUUGUAGUUUAAAGAAGUGUUUUCUGUUGAAGUUUUGGUAAAAGUUCUUUGGAAUAGGACAUCAUAGAGGGUGAGAAUCCCGUAUUUGACCAUUAUUUUCAGCUGUGUGAUACACUUUCAAAGAGUCGGAUUGUUUGGGAAUGCAGUCCAAAAUGGGUGGUAAAUUUCAUCUAAAGCUAAAUAUUGGCGAGAGACCGAUAGCGAACAAGUACCGUGAGGGAAAGAUGAAAAGAACUUUGAAAAGAGAGUAAAACAGUACGUGAAAUUGUCAAAAGGGAAGCGUUUGACACCAGUGUUGUUUUCUCGAAAAUCAAUUAAAAAGAGUUAGAUUUUGUUGUGUAUUGACCUUAACAGCUUGCAUUUCAAUUUUCUUGCUUUUUUAAUGCACUUUUCGUUUAACAAGUCAACAUCAGUUUCUUUUGUUGUAAAAAGGUCAUUGGAAGGUGGCUUUCUUUUCGGAGAAAGUGUUUAUAGCCUUUGACUCCUGCAAUCGGAGAGACUGAGGUCUGCAGCGUAGAUCCUUCGGGGUUAGAUACAUUUGUGCUAAGUUAUAGCUUUUUAUAGACAACUUGUUGACUAUGAUUAGUCUUGUAGCUUACUCGCUUAUGCUAUUUUACCUACGCUUAGGAUGUUGAGCGCAUGUCUCUCUCU
rnacentral:rRNA from 1 species